rnacentral:rRNA from 1 species
UUCGCCUGUUUUUCAAAAACAUCGCUUACGAACCUUACCAUAAGUUUAGCCUGCCCAAUGCCCCAAGUAAAUGGCCGCAGAAUUUUAACUGUGCUAAGGUAGCACAAUCCAUAGCCUCUUAAUUAGCUGCUAGAAUAAACGGACCGACGAAAAUCUAACUAUCUUCAUUUAUACUAAUGAACUUGACUAAAAAGUUAAAAGUCUUUUUAAUAUAAAAAGACGACAAGACCCUAAAAACUUAACCUUAGCUGACAAAUAAUAAGAAGAUCAUAAAAAGGAUUUUACUGGGGCGGUAUUCUUUAAACAAAAACAAACGAAAAACAAAACACCAUGCGUGAAACCCACAAGCCUCCCGCUCACACAAAAAUAAAGUUACUUUAGGGAUAACAGCGUUAUAUUAUUUAAGAUUCUACCAACAAUAAUGAUUACGACCUCGAUGUUGAAUUGAAAAACUCUCCCUAGGUAACCCCUUUGAAAGAAAGUCUGUUCGACUUUUAAUUUUUCACAUGAUCUGAGUUCCAAACCGGA